CUUCAAUGUCAGCUCCGAUUUGGAGGCCCAGUCAUCAUAAAUGUUCAGUUCUCGUUUUGGUCUUAACGGAGCCACAUCUCCUUAAUAAUAUCGAAUAAAAAUUUUCAGUUUUUGUGCAGUAAAAAUGUUUAGACAAUUUUACACCAGUUUGGGCUACUUCUUAUAAGGGGGUUUACACGUUUCAUACAAAACACAUUGCUAAACCGGUGAGUGGGCGAUGACCAGCUGCCAUCUAUUUUAUUGCUUCAUGGAUUCAAAAAGGCAAAAAAUUGCAAUUGAAUUACCAAAUAUAAAAUGCAUUGGUAUUCAGGCUUAUUUCGACAAACUUACAAUCACACACCUGCCAAUCUCAUUCUUCUGCCGUCUGAUCUAAGCUAAUACAAGCUGCCAUUCAUUUGCUUUCAAGGAAUCAAAAGGGCAGAAUGUCGUCGUGAUUUGGGACCAUGACGACUUCGUUACACGACAAAACGCAAACACACACUCAUUCAAAGCUGCUACAAGGUUGGUAUUUACGAUUAUGGAACCUUCAGGCUUAUUUCGACAAACUUACAAUCACACACCUGCCAAUCUCAUUCUUCUGCAAUCCGAUCUGAGCUAAUACAAGGUAUUCUAACACAUUUCAUAGCAUUACAAAAUCGACGAAUGGAAGUUCGCCAGCUGCCAUCCGUUUGAUUGCUUUCAAGGAAUCAAAAGGACAGAAUGUCGUCGUGAUUUGGGACCAUGACGACUUCAUUACAUGACAAAACGUAAAAACACACACUCAUUCAAAGCUGCUACAAGGUUGUUAUCUACGAUUAUGGAACCUUCAGGCUUAUUUCGACAAACUUACAAUCACACACCUGCCAAUCUCAUUCUUCUGCAAUCCGAUCUGAGCUAAUACAAGGUAUUCCAACACAUUUCAUAGCAUUACAAAAUCGACGAAUGGAAGUUCGCCAGCUGCCAUCCAUUUGAUUGCUUUCAAGGAAUCAAAAGGACAGAAUGUCGUCGUGAUUUGGGACCAUGACGACUUCAUUACAUGACAAAACGUAAAAACACACACUCAUUCUAAGCUGCUACAAGGUUGGUAUCUACGAUUAUGGAACCUGUAAGGGAUUAACCUCAAGUUUCCCUACCUUGCAGCUUACAUGGAGCUGGGCGAUUCCAUUCCGAUUUUUUAAAGCAUCAGCAUAUUGAAUAUAUCGAUUUAUACAAUCGCACCUUUUUCGUACACAUUAAUAAUUGUUAGAAGCUACACUAUCCACUACUAUUAAUGUUAAGUAAAUAAACAAAUUGGGUCGCAG